rnacentral:rRNA from 1 species
ACAGUCACACAUUAGACUUACCCUGUAGUCCUGGCCGUAAACGAUGUGGACUUGGUGUUGGAAUGGCUCCGAGCUGCUCCAGUGCCGAAGGGAAGCUGUUAAGUCCACCGCCUGGGAAGUACGGUCGCAAGACUGAAACUUAAAGGAAUUGGCGGGGAGCACCACAACGCGUGGAGCCUGCGGUUUAAUUGGAUUCAACGCCGGACAUCUCACUAGGGGCGACAGCAGAAUGAUGGCCAGGUUGAUGACCUUGCUUGACAAGCUG